AAGUACGUAGCUCAGUGGAUUAGAGCAUUAGACUCCGAAUCUAAAAGCCAGGGGUUCAAAUCCCCUCGUACUUA
rfam:Aureococcus anophagefferens strain CCMP 1984 chloroplast, complete genome.